rnacentral:lncRNA from 1 species
GCAUUUGACCGCUCCUCCCUCCGCGUUGGAGGCGGAAUAGUGGGUUUUGCUGCAACCGGUUUAUUUUCCUUCUGUUUUCACCCAUUCUGGCACAAUCUGGCGCCAUCGUCCUUCUUGUGAGGCCAAGCCUGAAAAUGCGAAGCAGAGAGGCAGGACCAAAAUUGAGGCGAAUCCAGGAACCUGCCAAUGGGUCUCCGGGUGCGGUCUCUGAAACUGGAGGAUAUCGGGAGGAAAGGGUAUGGAAGAGGGAUAAAACACGGUGCCUUAGGUGUGUUGAAGACAGAGUCGGGCCAAAAAUAUAUGAUUUACUGAGAUGCGUGUCGUGUUCUUGCGCUUUAUCUUGUAGCUCUCCGAUGCGGAGAUAAUGGGGAAGCUCUUGGCAUGGUUGGCUGUAGGUAUGUGAUACCGGAGGAGCAGGAGUCAAAUAGGAUACGCCGACUUUUAAUUCAAGGAACCCUUUUCUGAAACACUUUGCCACAAUGAAGGAAAUAAGAUUACAGCCGAAGAUACAUAUUAAGGAAUUGUACUCUCAGAGAUGUUGAGAAAAGAUACAUGGGUCUUGGAAGAUAAUUACUCAAAAUAUGCAGGGAAGGUAGUAUAUCUUUCUAUUUUAAAUGUAUUAAGUAUUCCUGGAACUAUAGCAGUGAGUUGGAAAUGGAGGAUUGUCCAAGUAAAAAACAUUUAUUAAGGCUUUAAUGAAAUCUACCUAUUUUAUGGUAUAUAAUCUCAUUAAUUGUCCACUUGGAAAGAAUAAUAACAGAUAUUUAUUUAUUGGCCAGUUACUAUGGGCCACAAAUUAUGCUGAGCUUUUUUUAAUUUCAUUUCAUUUUAUUUUAUUUUUUGAGAUGGGGUCUCACUCUGUCACCCAGGCUGGAGUGCAGUGGCGCAAUCUCAGCUUAUUGCAACCUCUGUCUUCCAGGCCCAAGCAAUCUUCCCACCUCAGCUUCCUAAGUAGCUGGGACCACAUGCAUGUACCACUACACCUGGCUAAUUUUUUUUUGUAUAUUUGGUAGAGACAGGGUUUUACCAUGUUGCCCAGGCUGCUAAGCUUUUUAUAUACAGUAUAUAGAAAGAGUUGGUUUUCUUAAACAAUAUUUAUUUCUCAUAAUAACUCUAUGAAAGCAGGUAUAGACUUCUUGCUUUCUAGGGUUGGUAUCUUGCUUGUUGAGGACCUACCCUUUUGUGUUGCCGAAUUUUUCAUUGUUUGAGUUCUGUCUUUUGUUUCAGAAAGCCAUGGAGUUUUGAAAUUAUUGUUAUAUCAUUAUUUGUUACAUAAUUAUUUCUACUUCUAGAAUCUCAUGCUAACUUGGAAGUGUCUUCUCAGCAUCAAGCCUGAUAUGGAGGGGCAGCUACACCCUAAUACGCUCCAAAACUAGUUAUGCUUUGUUUUAUACGUAAUGCUUCUGUUAUUAGACAAGUGGUUUCCAAAUAUCAGAAGCAGUGCUAGGACUUAAAGGAAAAGGGGGAGUGUUUUUUCUUCUAAUAGAACUUUUGAGCAGUGAUGAAAGGAAAACAAGAAGACUCAAAAGAUUAUAAAUCUCAGGCACGAAUUAGUGUUCUGCCAAUUAGGAACAUUCUGAUUGCUUGACAAGGUCUAUAUUUUGCUGAUGAGGAGUAGAAGCCUGUGGGAGGUGGGGGUGGAAGCAGCAGAAGGAAAAGAGUAGCAAGUAUUUAGUAAAAUGUAUUCAUCAUAGUGGAUAAAAAUCAAGCUUUGGGGAAAAAGGUCAAACUCCUUCAAUGAUGCUGUACAUCUGUACCUUUACUCCAUCCUAUAGCAAAUAUUUGUAUAACUGCACAGAAGAAAUUGGACAAUAUUCCUUGAAAAAUUCUUAGAAAGUUCAACUUUCCAAGUUAGUAUCACCCCAAGGAAAAUUAUAUGAGUAGGAAUACCUAAUUUCUAGCCAUACUCUAGUUCCAAUUAGCUUCUCUAAGUAGCUGGAACUGCAGGCGUGUGCCACCACACCUGGCUAAUUUUUUGUAUUUUUGGUAGAGAAGGGGUUUUGCCGUGUUGCCCAGGCUGCUAAGAUUUUUAUAUAUAGUGUAUAGAAAGAGUUGGUUUUCUUGGCCAGGCAUGGUGGCUCGCACCUGUAAUCCCAGCACUUUGAAAGGCUAAGGCAGGUGAAUCACCUGAGCUCAGGAGUUCAAGACCAGCCUGGCCAACAUGGCGAAACUCCGUCUCUACUAAAAAUACAAAAAUUAGCCGGGCAUGGUGGCACGCACCUGUAACCCCAGCUACUUGGGAGGCCAAGGCAGGAGAACCACUUGAACCCAGGAGGUGGAGGUUGCAGUGGGCCAAGAUUGGCCACUGCACUCCAGCCUGGGUGACAGAGCAAGACUCUGUCUCAAAAAAGAAAGAGUUGGUUCUGUUAAACAAUAUUUAUUUCUCAUAAUAACCCUAUGAAAGCAGAUACAGACUUCUGGCUUUUUAGGAUUGGUAUUUCACUUGUUGAACACCUACCCUUGUGUCAGAUGUAUAGCAGGUUAACAAAGUCAAUACAGUGAUACACUUGACAUAAUCUUUGUUCUGAGUUUUUUUCCCAAUUAUAGUAAAAUUGGAGGUCUUAACUGUUCUACAUUAGAUAAAUAUAUGCAUUUGUUUUAAAGAGCUAAGCAAUGAGAAUCUUACAACUAGAGCUGAAGUUCAAGAAAUAAAUGUCCAAUGAUUAAAUUUUUUCCACUGCUGUUCACAUCAUGAUUUGUUGUGAUUAAUGUAUGUGGAUGAGGACAUAAUAGAAAAAGAAAAUGAUGAGACUUGUAUAUAUUGUGUUUCUGCACAAUGAGUUCCUUUGAAUGUUUUUCGUUUUAGGAAUAAAAUUGAAGGGUGUUUUUCUUAGAGAACAUCAUUUGUCAUAUUUAUUUGAUCAAGAAGUUGAAGAUUUAUAUAAUAAGGAUCUAGUUUGAAGCACUAAGAAGAAUAAGACAUCAGUUUGAAAAGAGGCUCUAUCAGAACAACACGAAUUCUGCUAAAAUUGAAGCAAGAACAAACAUCAAAUAUAUGUUGACACUUGGGUGGAAGAAUGGUGAACUAAUUGAUGCUUUAUGAAAAGUUGAUAGGGACAGUGCUCCAAAGAAAUCAGUUUACAAAUGGAUAACUCGUUUUAAGAAGGCAUAAGGUAAUGUUGAAGAAGAAGCCCACAGUGGCAGAUCAUCCACAUCAGUUUGUGAGAAAAAAGUUAGUUCAUGGCGUAAUUGAAGAAAACCAACAAUUAACAGCAGAAACAACAGCCAACACCAUAGACAUCUCAGUUGGUUCACCUUACACAAUUUUGACUGGAAAAGUUCAGCAAACUUUAUACCUGAUAGGUACCAAAACCAUUGCACCCAGAUCAGCUACAGACAAGAAUAGAGCUUUCAAUGGAAAUUUUAAAUAAGUGGGAUCAGGAUCUUGAAGCCUUUCAUUGAAAAAUUGUAACAGGAGAUGAAACAUGGCUUUACCAGCGCAAUCCUGAAGACAAAACACAAAGCAGUGGUUACCAAGAUAAGUAGUUCAGUUAAAGCACAAGAGGACUGGUUGAGAGCAAAGGUCAUGGCAACAGCUUUUGAAUGCUCAAGGCAUUUUGCUUGUUGACUUUCUGUAGGGCCAAAGAAUGGUAACGUGCUUAUCAUGGGAGUGUUUUGAGAAACUUAGCCAAAGCUUCAGCAGAAAAAUCCCCGAGAAAGACCAGAGAGUUCUUCACCACAACAAUGUUCCUGCUCAUCCCUCUCAUCAAACAAGGCCAUUUUGCAAGAGUUUUGAUGGGAAAU